rnacentral:rRNA from 1 species
CGGGGACAGGGUGACGAGGUGGUGCAUGGUUGUCGUCAGCUCGUGUCGUGAGAUGUUGGGUUAAGUCCCGCAACGAGCGCAACCCUCGACCUUAGUUGCCAGCAUUCAGUUGGGCACUCUAAGGUGACUGCCGGCUAAAAGUCGGAGGAAGGUGGGGAUGACGUCAAAUCAUCAUGCCCCUUAUGACCUGGGCUACACACGUGCUACAAUGGGCGGUACAAAGGGUCGCGAACCCGCGAGGGGGAGCCAAUCCCAAAAAGCCGCUCUCAGUUCGGAUUGCAGGCUGCAACUCGCCUGCAUGAAGCCGGAUUCGCUAGUAAUCGCGCAUCAGCCAUGGCCGCGGUCCGAAUACGUUCCCGGGCCUU